rnacentral:rRNA from 1 species
UACGUAGGGUGCGAGCGUUAAUCGGAAUUACUGGGCGUAAAGCGUGCGCAGGCGGUUUGUUAAGACAGAUGUGAAAUCCCCGGGCUUAACCUGGGAACUGCAUUUGUGACUGGCAAGCUAGAGUAUGGCAGAGGGGGGGUAGAAUUCCACGUGUAGCAGUGAAAUGCGUAGAGAUGUGGAGGAAUACCGAUGGCGAAGGCAGCCCCCUGGGCCAAUACUGACGCUCAUGCACGAAAGCGUGGGGAGCAAACGAGG